UUUAUUCAAGGUUGACAUUUUAGCUUCUAAAUAUGUCUCUAAACUAUGAAAAAAAUUGAUAAAAAAAAUAAAUCCUAGUAUAUGAUGCCUUGACUUUGGUCCAAAUGAGAAAAUGUCUAUGAGCUAUAACAUAUUUUCUAAUUUAGAGAUUUUUUUUAUACUUUUUAGAUUUUUCAAAAUAUGAGUAGUAUGAUGUUUUUAUUUUUUUCUUAAUUUUUUAUUUUCAUCAAAAUAUGAUGCUUUUAUGUAAUGGUUUUGAACAUUUGAGUUUUUAAAUAUGUCCCUAAGAUAUGAUAAAAAGGCUGAUAAA
rnacentral:lncRNA from 1 species